rnacentral:tRNA from 1 species
GCCCGGAUGGUCUAGUGGUAUGAUUCGCCCUUAGGGAGUUAACAGUCUUGUGCCUUCUUGCGCUCUGGAUGUAUCUACUUUGGGCGAGGUCCCCGGUUCAAUCCCGGGUUCGGGCC